rnacentral:rRNA from 1 species
GACGAACGCUGGCGGCGUGCCUAAUACAUGCAAGUAGAACGCAGUUGCGAACGGGUGAGUAACGCGUAGGUAACUGCCUCAUAGCGGGGGAUAACUAUUGGAAACGAUAGCUAAUACCGCAUACUGUGCGAUGGACCUGCGUUGUAUUAGCUAGUUGGUGGGGUAAAGGCUCACCAAGGCGACGAUACAUAGCCGACCUGAGAGGGUGUACGGGCACCCUUGGACGUGGACACGGCCCAGACCCCUACGGGAGGGAGCAGUAGGGAAUUUUCGGCAAUGGACGGAAGUCCUACCGAGCAACGCCGCGGUAGUGAAGAAGGUUUUUGGAUCUUAAAGCUCUGUUGUUAGAGAAGCGGUAACUAAACAGAAAGGGACGGCUAACUACGUGCCAGCAGCCGCGGUAAUUG